GAUAAUUAUUGUAAUUUCCACUAUAAAUUAUUAUGCCAUAUUAAAUAUUUUACUAACAGAGAUAUCAAGAUUAAAACAAAACAGUAUUUAUGUGUUUAAAAAUAAUUUGUUUACUGUUUUUUUAUAUGUGGACUUGAUUUUUAUAUGCAUUAAAUGUUUUAUUUAAUAAAGACUAAAUUAUUAAAACAGUUAAGUUUACUUAAAAUGUAAAAUAGUUGUCUCAAUUUUCAGCUAUUUUAAUUAGUUAUUACUUAACAUUUCAUUUCAAUUCUAUACUUCUAUAUUUUUAUUUGAAAUUAAAAGGAAUUUACUUUAUUCUUUAGAAUAAAUGCCAAUUGCUUUUUAUCAGUUCAACUUUUUAUUAUGAUGGAUUAAUGACAUUUAUUUGUUUGCAGGUUUACUAAGCCGUUGGUCAUGUAUGAACAACUGUGGUAGAAGCUAUAAGAACAAAGGAGACUUAAUACGCCAUAUGAGAAAAGAAUGUGGUAUUCCUCCUCAAUAUCGUUGUGAUACUUGUCGUAAAAUGUUUAAACAUGUUCAUCAUUUAAAGUCACAUAUGAUUGUAGUUCAUCAGAAACUAUUUAAAAGCAAUUAAAAACACUUAAUUUAUUAUACUUAUACUAUGUCGUUUUGUAAAAUGUUAAGCUUUAACGUACUCUCUUUUCAUUAGUAAAAUAUUAUUUUUAUGUUUUCAGUUAACUGAUUAUUAAAUAUAAAUAUGACUACAUGGUGAUACAAAUUUAUAUAUUAUACUAGAUUAGGAACUUUGAAUAAAACUAACAUAAAAUAACUAAUGCUUAUACUCCAUGUUUUGGAUACAAAAAUUUUCCAUGGGUAUAAAAACUGCAAACUAUCUAGGUAACAUAUUGAAGUACCAAAGAUAUUAUUGAAAUAUCCGUGUCAAUUUUCUAACCAAGAGAAUUGGUAACAAAAUUAAUUUAAUGGCUCAAUGUAAAUGUAAACAUUGUAAAUAUUAAAUGUUGUAGAUUCACAAGGUUCUUAUCUAGUGUAGUAUAGUAUACUUUGUAUACACGGUGUACUAGUAAAUACUUAGAUUAGAAAAUACUUUUUUACAUUCCUAUUAACUAAAUAAAUUAAAUAAAUUAUAUAAUAAUUAAUAAUGUAUUAUCUACAAAUUAUACAAUAUAAAAUUAUAUAAUUUAACACUAUAAUUCUUAAGUUUGAUAUGUUCCUAUAAAUAUGGUAAUUAUUGUUCUUUAUUACCAAUUUUCUAAAAACUUUUUUUUUACUUUAAUAAUUUUAUGUUAACUACAGAUUUUUUUUUUGUUUUUAAUAUAACAUCAAUUACAAACAUUAUUAAACUAGGCUUAAAAAAAAAUUUCAAAAAUAAGGUAAUUAAUUAUUAAUUAUGUCAUAUAAUUGAAUAAACAAUGUAAAUGGUUAAAUUGAAUUAAAAAUUGAGAAAUAUUUUGAAAUUCAUUGAGAAAAAUAAAAAUAAGUAUAACAAUAGAUUGGAAUGGUUUUAGCAGUGGUGUUUUUAUACACGGUUGGAACAAAUUUUAUCUUUGCUAAUAACAGAUUGUAUUUAAAAUGUAAUUGAAAAUUAUAUAUAUAUAAUUAGUAACAAAUUAGUAAAUCUUCAAUAGAAAGAUAAUUUUGAGUAUAUAUAUCUUUAAAAAUCAGAGCUUAUAAUUUAAUUUAAAAAAAUAAAAUAAUAUAACAACAAUUUUAAACUUAUUUAUAUUGUAUUAAAAAUAAAUUAAGAUGUUAUUUUUUACUAGCUUUUAGAUUGUUAAAUAUUAUUUAAUUUAUGAUGCAUAAUAUAUAUUGUAUACAAAAAAAUUAUUUAUUUAUUAAUAAUUAUAUCUUCACAUACUUAGGUUAUUUUUCAAGGUUGCUGUAUUGAAAUGGACGUGGACCAAGUUACAAGUUCAAAUAUAAUUUAAAUAGAAAUAUAAGAAAAGAAUGUAGAGUUGAAUCAGAUACAAAUAUGGAAUUUGUUUAAAAGCAUUCAAACAAAAUGACUAGGAAUAAAACAAAGACAACAAAUAUUUUUUGAAUUUAACUCAAAAGAAUUACUUUGGAAGACCUAUUUUAAUACUACAUACAAGAACACUUACUGUAUGACUAUUGUGUAUAUUUGUACUCAAAAGUGAAUACAUCCAGGAGUAUUUUAAUUUGUUCUUUGAAAAUUUAAAUUCUAUGGCAUUAAAAUGAUAACAAAUAAAAUGUGAUUUUGUUAUUAACCUAUUUUAUAUUAUUACAUUGAAUUUCUUUAUUAUUUAUAAUCUUAGGUAUUAUUUAUUUGACAUAAUAUCUUAAAACAUCUUUCAACAUAAAAAACUAUAAAAUCAUUUAAUAAGAUUCCUUUUUUUGGUAAUUGAUAAUAUAAUGACAGAUUAUUCCAGGUUAAUUUUGUGUCAGAUAUUAAAUUAGUAUAAUUUAACAGUCAAAGUAUUGAAAUAUAAUAAUUGUAUAUAUAUAUAAUAAUAAAUAUAUGAUAAUUAUUUUAUAUUCAAAAACAAAAUAUUGAACUUCAUUGUUAAUAUCCAUUAUAUCUGGUGUAUGGGAUAGGUUUAUUAUUUUGUUACCUACCUAUGAACAGAACAGCUUAAUAAAUAUAUAUAUAUAUAUUAUUUUUUAAUAACACAGCAAUGGUUCACCCAAUUUAACAAGCCUGGACAUUUUCUUCAUGUGGUCUUGCCAAACUAACAUAUUAUAUAUAAUAAUUGUUCUAAUAUAAAUAGUAAUAAUAUUUAUGUUGACAAUAGAAAAAAUGUAAUUUGGUUUGUUUUUCAUUUUGAUAAAUAGGAUUAUUCAAAAGGUCAAACUUGUUGAAAUUGCUAUGUCCAAAUAACUGUGGCCGAUCAUAUAAUCAUCGUGGAACAUUGCGCAGGCAUCUUAAGUAUGAAUGUGGUGUACCACCACAAUUUAAAUGUGAAUACUGUCCUAGGACUUUUGCCCAAAAAGUCAAUCUGAAUAAGCAUCAAAUGGCUGUACACAAAAAUAUUUUAGAUGCAAUGAGCAUGUGUUUUGUUGAAUUAUGUGAAAAAUAAAUUUCAUAAUAGUUAA